GUACAAUGGUCACCUGAGGUAGCAUGACAAUGCACAAUAGUAAAAUGGUUCCCUGAGGUAACCUGACCAUACACAGUAGUAAUGUGGUUCCCUGAGGUAACAUGACCAUGUACAGUAGUAGAAGUAAAAACACAAAAAUUCUAAACUCCAAGGAAAAUUCAAAAAGGAAAAUCAAAAAUCAAAAGGCAAAAUCAAAAGUCCAAACACA
rnacentral:lncRNA from 1 species